rfam:Blastomonas sp. AAP25 AAP25_Contigs_2, whole genome shotgun sequence.
GCCGCUUUAGCUCAGCUGGUAGAGCAACCGCCUUGUAAGCGGUAGGUCGUUGGUUCGAAUCCGACAAGCGGCA